rnacentral:rRNA from 1 species
GAUGAACGCUGGCGGCGUGCCUAAUACAUGCAAGUCGAGCGAACGGACGAGAAGCUUGCUUCUCUGAUGUUAGCGGCGGACGGGUGAGUAACACGUGGAUAACCUACCUAUAAGACUGGGAUAACUUCGGGAAACCGGAGCUAAUACCGGAUGAUAUUUUGAACCGCAUGGUUCAAAAGUGAAAGACGGUCUUGCUGUCACUUAUAGAUGGAUCCGCGCUGCAUUAGCUAGUUGGUAAGGUAACGGCUUACCAAGGCAACGAUGCAUAGCCGACCUGAGAGGGUGAUCGGCCAAACUGGAACUGAGACACGGUCCAGACUCCUAAGGGAGGCAGCAGUAGGGAAUCUUCCGCAAUGGGCGAAAGCCUGACGGAGCAACGCCGCGUGAGUGAUGAAGGUCUUCGGAUCGUAAAACCCUGUUAUUAGGGAAGAACAUAUGUGUAAGUAACUGUGCACAUCUUGACGGUACCUAAUCAGAAAGCCACGGCUAACUACGUG